rnacentral:rRNA from 1 species
GAACGCUGGCGGCGUGCUAAUACAUGCAAGUAGAACGCUGAAGGAGGAGCUUGCUUCUCUGGAUGAGUUGCGAACGGGUGAGUAACGCGUAGGUAACCUGCCUGGUAGCGGGGGAUAACUAUUGGAAACGAUAGCUAAUACCGCAUAAUAGUAGAUGUUGCAUGACAUUUGCUUGAAAGGUGCAAUUGCAUCACUACCAGAUGGACCUGCGUUGUAUUAGCUAGUUGGUGGGGUAACGGCUCACCAAGGCAACGAUACAUAGCCGACCUGAGAGGGUGAUCGGCCACACUGGACUGAGACACGGCCCAGACUCCUACGGGAGGCAGCAGUAGGGAAUCUUCGGCAAUGGACGGAAGUCUGACCGAGCAACGCCGCGUGAGUGAAGAAGGUUUUCGGAUCGUAAAGCUCUGUUGUAAGAGAAGAACGAGUGUGAGAGUGGGAAGUUCACACUGUGACGGUAUCUUACCAGAAAGGGACGGCUAACUACGUGCCAGCAGCCGCGGUAAUACGUAGGUCCCGAGCGUUGUCCGGAUUUAUUGGGCGUAAAGCGAGCGCAGGCGGUUAGAUAAGUCUGAAGUUAAAGGCUGUGGCUAACCAUAGUACGCUUUGGAAACUGUUUAACUUGAGUGCAAGAGGGGAGAGUGGAAUUCCAUGUGUAGCGGUGAAAUGCGUAGAUAUAUGGAGGAACACCGGUGGCGAAAGCGGCUCUCUGGCUUGUAACUGACGCUGAGGCUCGAAAGCGUGGGGAGCAAACAGGAUUAGAUACCCUGGUAGUCCACGCCGUAAACGAUGAGUGCUAGGUGUUAGACCCUU